rnacentral:rRNA from 1 species
UACGAAGGGGGCUAGCGUUGCUCGGAAUUACUGGGCGUAAAGGGCGCGUAGGCGGUCUGUCGCGUCGGAUGUGAAAACCCAGGGCUCAACCCUGGGCCUGCAUUCGAUACGGGCAGACUAGAGUGUGGCAGGGGAGACUGGAAUUCCUGGUGUAGCGGUGAAAUGCGCAGAUAUCAGGAGGAACACCGGUGGCGAAGGCGGGUCUCUGGGCCAAUACUGACGCUGAGGAGCGAAAGCGUGGGGAGCGAACAGG